ACCCUUCGGGGUGAGUGGCAGACGGGUGAGUAACGCGUGGGAACGUGCCCUUCAGUUCGGAAUAACCCAGGGAAACUUGGGCUAAUACCGGAUACGUCCGAGAGGAGAAAGAUUGAUCGCUGAAGGAUCGGCCCGCGUCUGAUUAGCUGGUUGGUGGGGUAAUGGCCCACCAAGGCGACGAUCAGUAGCUGGUCUGAGAGGAUGAUCAGCCACAUUGGGACUGAGACACGGCCCAAACUCCUACGGGAGGCAGCAGUGGGGAAUAUUGGACAAUGGGCGCAAGCCUGAUCCAGCCAUGCCGCGUGAGUGAUGACGGCCUUAGGGUUGUAAAGCUCUUUCGGCGGGGACGAUAAUGACGGUACCCGCAGAAGAAGCCCCGGCUAACUUCGUGCCAGCAGCCGCGGUAAUACGAAGGGGGCUAGCGUUGUUCGGAAUCACUGGGCGUAAAGGGCGCGUAGGCGGCUUUGUAAGUCGGGGGUGAAAGCCUGUGGCUCAACCACAGAAUUGCCUUCGAUACUGCAUGGCUUGAGACCGGAAGAGGUAAGUGGAACUGCGAGUGUAGAGGUGAAAUUCGUAGAUAUUCGCAAGAACACCAGUGGCGAAGGCGGCUUACUGGUCCGGUUCUGACGCUGAGGCGCGAAAGCGUGGGGAGCAAACAGGAUUAGAUACCCUGGUAGUCCACGCCGUAAACGAUGAAUGCCAGCCGUUGGCGAGCUUGCUCGUCAGUGGCGCAGCUAACGCUUUAAGCAUUCCGCCUGGGGAGUACGGUCGCAAGAUUAAAACUCAAAGGAAUUGACGGGGG
rnacentral:rRNA from 1 species